rnacentral:tRNA from 1 species
CAGAGAAUAGUUUAAAUUAAAAUAUUAAUUUUGGAGAUUAAUGAUAAAAGAUUACUUUUUUUCUCUGA